rnacentral:rRNA from 1 species
UACGUAGGGGGCGAACGUUGUCCGGAUUUAUUGGGCGUAAAGAGCUCGUAGGCGGCUCAGCAAGUCGGCCGUGAAAGUCCGGGGCUCAACCCCGGGAUGCCGGUCGAUACUGCUGUGGCUAGGGUCCGGUAGAGGAGAGUGGAAUUUCCGGUGUAGCGGUGAAAUGCGUAGAUAUCGGAAGGAACAUCAGUGGCGAAAGCGACUUCCUGGACCAGUACCGACGUUCAGGCACGAAAGCGUGGGGAGCAAACAGG